rnacentral:rRNA from 1 species
CCCUUAGAUGUUCUGGGCCGCACGCGCGCUACACUGACGAAGUCAGCGAGCAUGUCCUACGCCGACAGGUGCGGGGAAUCUUGUCAAACUUCGUCGUGAUGGGGAUUGAUUAUUGAAAUUCUUGAUCAUCAACGAGGAAUUCCUAGUAAGCGCAAGUCAGCAGCUUGCGUUGAUUACGUCCCUGCCCUUUGUACACACCGCCCGUCGCUUCUACCGAUUGAAUGGUUUAGUGAGAUCUUCGGAUUGGCGCCACUGCGGCUCAGCAAUGGGCUCGGUGGAUGCCGAAAAGUUGAUCAAACUUGAUCAUUUAGAGGAAGUAAAAGUCGUAACA